GCAUAUCAAUAAGCGGAGGAAAAGAAACCAACAGGCAUUGCCUUAGUAACGGCGAGUGAAGCGGCAACAGCUCAAAUUUGAAAGCUGGCCCUUUUAGGGUCCGCAUUGUAAUUUGUAGAGGAUGAUUCGGCGAGGGCUCCUGCCUAAGUCCCCUGGAACGGGGCGUCAUAGAGGGUGAGAAUCCCGUAUGCGGUAGGUUGCCUUAGCCAUGUGAAUCUCCUUCGACGAGUCGAGUUGUUUGGGAAUGCAGCUCUAAAUGGGAGGUAAAUUUCUUCUAAAGCUAAAUACCGGCCAGAGACCGAUAGCGCACAAGUAGAGUGAUCGAAAGAUGAAAAGCACUUUGGAAAGAGAGUUAAAAAGUACGUGAAAUUGUUGAAAGGGAAGCGCUUGCAACCAGACUUGUCCGCAGUUGCUCAGCCGGUCUCCUGACCGGCGUACUCUUCUGCGGCCAGGCCAGCAUCAGUUCGGGCGGUCGGAUAAAGGCCUCGGGAAUGUGGCUCCUCUCGGGGAGUGUUAUAGCCCGGGGUGCAAUGCGGCCAGCCUGGACUGAGGAACCGCUUCGGCAAGGAUGCUGGCGUAAUGGUUGUAAGCGGCCCGUCUGAAACACGGACCAA
rnacentral:rRNA from 1 species